AUAAGUGGCGUCCGACGUAAGUCGGGCAUCGUAAAUCCGAGAACUCCCUGUAUGCAUCUCUCUCCUGGGGGGCUGAGGUGUUCUUCAAGGGGUGAUGCCAGAGGAAGUUUAUUAGCAUACCCCCUCCCUACUAGAGAAGUGAGUCUGAAAAAGGGAUGAAGGAACUAGCCCCAACAAAGUAAGAACCAACUUGAACACAGACUCAAACCCUGAAAUGAAUCAGCUGCCUCUGUUUCCUAGAACCACUUGGAAGCAGCAGAAUACCUGACAGACACACCAUGCUCAUGGCAUUUCCAGCCUCACUGGAAUUAGAAAGUACAGUAUUCUCAUCUGGAAGCUUGUGUUUGCAGGACUUCUGUGACUCAAGUGACACGGAAAAGUUCUGUCCAUCUAUACAAUGCUCAGGAUGAUCUAUCAGACAAGAGGAAGAAGAGAAAACUAGUCCUUUCCCAUAGAAGAGUGCAGCUGGAUGGCUCCUGGCCAAGGCAGCCUGAUCUGGGACCUGGCGCCCCUUUUGUCUGUAUUCUCUCCUGGUGCUGAGAGAAGCCCAGCAAAGGGAUGAAAUGGGGCUGCCCUCACCCCGCACACAUAUACCCCAUCCCACAGCACAUACCUGGCACUGGGACUCCCACCUGCUACCCACAAAGUGCAGCACUAGGUAUAUAGAGGGUACCUCCCACCCCCC